CGCCGGCCCUCCCCGCUACCUCGGCUCAGCGAAGCCGGCAGGAGCGUCCGUGCGCCAACACCAAGCUCCGGACUUCAAUUCCUCUCCUGCAGGGGACCUGGCAGCCUCUUCUGUGACUCGAGGGCUAAGGUUGGAGGAGGAUACAGAAAAGCAGAAGGCAGUGCCUGCCCCGUUCCGUCCGAGUCUGGUCUCCAAGCCACCCAGGCCCAUUUCUGCACAUGCCGUGGACCGUCAUGGUGAACCCCGAUUAUCCUGACGUUGCAGCUGAAGAAGGGAAUGGAUCAAGAACGUCCAAGGCCGUGGGUCCAACUCUGUAGGAAGCGGGGCGGGGUCGGCUGGACCUCCCCGGGGUCUCUGCUGUGAAGGCCCAUCAGUGGCGGCGACAGACCGGACCCUGCUGCACAUCAGUUUAACAAGCAUGGAUCAGAUUUCUAGGUCCCAUGGGUACAGAGGCCAACGUGACAAAGGCUCUGCUCUAAGGGACCUGGGGCAGCAGCGCUCCCUGGCUGGGGUGACUGUUGCUGCGGGAGCUUCAUCAAUGCCUCCAGGGCCACUGGGCCACAGCACGGGAAGCCAGACGGAUGCGAGUGCACGCUACGUGACCGGUAUGAGGCUGCUUUCUCAUGGGGUGAUGAUUAGAGGGGAUAGAAACAGUCACAGCGGUCAGAUAUAUUUGAAAAAACAUGCGCCCUUAGAUAACUGUACUCAUGUUUCCUACAAGAGUUAACAGUUAUGCUUAAAAGGAGGGGAAAAAAAGCCUGGCCCCGUGGUCACGAUGUUUUGAAAACAGGGGAUUCCCAUGUACUUCCAGGUUGUGAUCCAGCGGGAUAGAAUCUGGUGACUAACCACAGCCUGGGGUGUAGGGGAAAGUGGGCUCGCUGUCCUGCCCAUGCCCCCAGGGUGACCCUCAGGGUCUUCGGGUCCACCCCCUCACCCACAAAAUGGGGCUGAGACUUGUGUGACAGGGCUGGGCACAGAAGGGCAUGUGGGAGAUUCGGCCUUUGCAGACAUCAGUGACUGUAUCGGGGGACACACUUGAGGGGCCUGGAACCUUGUCCCCCUCAACAGAAGAGCCAGUGCAGGGGCUGCUGCUCCUUCAGGGCUCAUCCAACCAGGGGCUGUGUCCCCAGGGGCAACAGGACCACAGAUUCUGGUGUCCAGAAGGCAGGAAGGUGAGCAGGGACCCCAACAAAUGCUUGCAGUUGUGGUGCCCCUGCCCAAUGUCCUGCUUCCCGUCCUCCCAUAGGAAAGCUGGUGCCACCUCUGUAUCUGGGUAGAGAACCCAUAACCCGGUCCACCUUCCUUCAUCAGACUUCAGGGAGCAGCGGUUUUCCUGGGGCCCCUCUGGUGCGAGGGACUCCCCUCCCCAUGCUAACCCACGCCUGCCUGAGACCUGGGUCUCAGAUCUCACACUGAAACACGAGAGCAGUAGGGCAGGUCUAUGCACAGGACACAUCCUGUGCCUUCACCAGCCCUCUGCCAUCUGGAGAGCAUUGGAGAUGCCAGGCACGGAGAGGACGCCCAGGCCACGGCCAAAGUCCACGGCCAUGGCAAUCCCGUCUGAAGCAUGAUCGGGAACUCGAGGUUCGCUGGUUCACAGGCGUCGCCCACCCUGCAGGCCCCCAUCUCUUCGAGCAACCUCAUGCCAGGUGAGCGCUUGGUUGGCUGCCUCCCCUGCUGGGAGAGAGACUCAGUCGGGCUGCCUUUCCUGUGCCGGCCCUGGGGUAGCCACCCUCCCCUCGAGGACCUCCCUUUCCUCUCACUGCGUCAGAGCAACCGCAUCCCAUGGGGCUGAUGGGCACGGUGGUUCAUGGACACCCAGAGAUGUGUGUGGUCACUGUGCGGGCAGCAGGGGCCAGAUUUGGGCCUUUUGGGUUUCAAAGCCCCGCUGCCUCGUCCCACCGCACUGCUGGGGGCUUCUUUUAAGCUUAGAGGCACAUUUUCCUUUUUAACGUCUGUGGAAAAUAGGGUGUUGCACGAUUUAAUAGCAUUUUGGAGGCGAUGUGGGAGGGUGACGAGAGAGGCUUUUGGAAGCCACUAGGCUGCUGACCCUGUGCCCGUCCCUGCCAGACUGCCCAGGGACUGGAGGAGAUAACAUCCAAGUGCCCGGCUCAGCGUCUGACACUGAGAAAGUGCUUUAGAAAGUAAAGAUUUGUUUUUUUCCUUUUCUCAGUUUGGUGUUUUAAAGCUUUAUUUUUCAACAGCCCAUUCACGUAGUUCAAAAUUUAAAACCAGCUCACUGUCACAGUGGUAAGCUCUCUCUCAUCCCUGUUCCCACCCCUCAGGAGGUCCGUAAUCUGCAUUUUUGGGUGUCUUUUGGCAUUCCCUUGAUGCACUCACAAGCAAGUGUGGAGACAUUAUUACCCCCUUGAGACAAAACUGUCAGGUUACAUGCACUGUUUUAUACUUUACUGGGCUCAGCUGAGAAAAAAAUCCCAGCGAUGGGUCUACAUCCGCUAUUUCCACAGCUGUCGGGCGUUCUGCUGUGUGGACGGACCAACGUGUACUUGUGGUCAGUCCCCUCCUGCGGAUGGGCAGGGUUCUUCCCCAUCCUGCCGCUGUGUGUCUGCCCUUCCCACGUACAGGAGGGUACAGACGACUCCAUCGCCUGCGUGGAUCUGCCCAGCUAUAAAGCCGUCAAGUGUUAGAAUGUUUUCGUGCUCCAGUUGCCCCGAAGCCAGGAAGUGAUAAGCCAGAACGAGCUGUCUCCCUGGGAGUUCGCAAAGGCUGGGCGGGGCUCAGCAGCACAGCCCCCUGAGGAAGCCUCACAGAGGGCUGUGGGGUGGGGUAGGUCUCUCGGGGCCCCGGCCAUCCCAUUCCCUGCAGCAGACCAUGGCACGCCCGGCUGCCCUCGGAGUUGAGUUUUAAUAGACCCUGGUUUUUGGGGCUGAUGGGCAGGAGGGAGGGCUCCCCAGGACUGUCAAGAUUUGGACAAGCAAAGGCCGAUGUCGCAUUUCCUCCCCUGUUCUCUGGGGGUGCUCUAAGCAGGGCAGGUGGGGAGGGGGGCUUCAUGUGACACCAGGUCCCAUCAGAUGGCGGUGGCUACUAGGCAGGCCUCUGAGCCUGUGGGGCUUGGCAGGGGAACAGCACCUGACCCCACAGCUGUGGGUGAAAAGCCGUUUCCCUAGAAGCCAGCAAAAACAUUUGCCUGGAUGCAAAGAAAGCAGCUUUCCAAAUGUCUGCAACGAGACACAGAAUAGGAGAAGAAAUUGAGAGCUAGUAUUUGGAUUGUUCUGUGCCUAAAGUUGCAAGAGCUGCUGUGCUGUGUUGAAAGGUUUAGAUGGCCGAACUGCUAAUGCCCAUUUCCAGGGAACCACUGACUGCGUCAGAGGGCAGACAAUGGAGCAAGAACGUCCCCACGGCGAUGGCUACGUCGGCCACCACGGCCCCAGUGCCUGUGCUGAGGAAAGGGCAAAUGAACUAUGUCUCCCUGGUAGAAGGUCACACAGCCCCUGAAAACUCCACUUCAAGGAACAUUCAUGGACGCGGGGAAAUAAAAUAUGUACUGAGAACAAAAGCAGAAAAUUGAACCAGGAGCAUGCAGACUCCAGCUCUGGGAUCAUGUUCUUGCAAACAGGAAAGAUGGGUCGGCUGUGGUCACAGUGGCUACAGAAAACUUAAAAUUGCACAUGUGACUCAUGUGAUUUCUGCUGGACAGUGAAUUUCACCGUUAAUAAAGAGCUAUGAAAAUGAUUACCAUCUCUCAAGUCCCCCAAGGAGUCUGGAAAUUCAUGUAUCAGAUACCUUUGCUACCGACCCGUUGAACCCACUGAUCUGACCAAGCAAACCUAUGGGAAAAUGCUCUGAGAACUGCCCAGUGAGCCUCAGUGAUCGCUAAGGAAACACGGGUCACCCGUGGCCAACCGCUAUUAAAUGGUUGUUUAGUAACUUUAGUUACUUUGAAUAAAGAUGUUUAAAAAACCCCAUUUUCCCCCCACCAUGUUUCCAAUUUCCAUCUCAAGACAGUUUCUUAGAAAAUCAAAUACCCACGAGCUUUUAUAUUCUUAGGAUGGAAUUUAAGUGUUCUGUGACAAACUGUGCACUCUGAAAUGACUUCCAGUUCUAAACAUUGGCGCCUGUGAACCUCUGACACCCUCUCCCCGGACCCUUUCCAUUUUCUGUGCACAGCCCUGAUCUCGAGGAGCCAGCCACCUGUAAAUCCCGGGGACACAUGCCCAGUGUUGAGCAGAGGGCGGUUUCAAGGCCAGUGCUGCCUCCUGAGACCCUAUGUGACUCAGGGUGCCUCUCAGAGCCUCACAAAGGGGCUGAGGCAGUCCUCGUGGGUACCUCUAAGGGGUCCUGGGAAAAUGAGAUGGCCCAGGUUUUGUAAGCUGGGAAGCAAUGAAUACUCAUCGCAUAAAGUCAAUGUGGCAAAAUCUCAUCACUGCCUCCUUUCCCUGGCUGUGCUCAAACUGCACAGGAGGCAAAUGACAUAACCACACACGUGCAUCCAAGAUGCUUCCUCCCGCAGCCCUCCCGCCCCUCCCCUGCCACACAUCCUGGAGCUGGUACAGACCAGCCUUGUGCCUGUACCUGCUACAUGCACCCUGGUGAUCGUUCCCAGGGGUGACCCUAGAGCUGUGGGUCCUAAAUGUCAAAGAGCUCAAUGAGUUUUCCCCAACUCAAGGACACAGUAUCCCUCUCAUUCCCACGGAAGGGAGGCUGAUGCAUUCGACAAAGGCUUCUGUUCUCAAAAGCCAGGAUUACGGCACAUUUUCUGGUGUUCGAUUCCUCCCUGAAGAUCUGGACUCCUGUACAGUCUUACUGCACCCACGUGACCCACACGGGGCAUACAGCAGCGCUGAUGGGAGGGGUGGGCAAAUGCUGAUCAACGUGGUCUCACGCCUGCUCCCCAAUCGAGGGGGCACCUCCUGCGUCAGUGGAAUGACAGCUGUGCACGUGGGUCUCCCUCACUGGGAUGACAACCCCUCUGAGGACAGGAUUAUGCCUUAUCCUUUCUUCUCUUUUAAGCCUCUCUUAAUGCUUAACCCAAAGGAAAGCCUGAGUUGACCUGCGAUACAUCAUACUUCCACUUUCUACUAUGGAGAAUUGCCACGAUACAUAAAAGCAUACAGAACAGGAAAACGAAGUCCCACGUGCCAUUACCCAGCUGUGGCCAGGACUACCCUGGGCCCAGCCUGUCUCGUCCGUAGCCCCUUCUGGGAGAUGUGAAAAGGGAAGGCCCUUGCCCCGAGUGGAGGUGCUGGGCAGGGGCACUGGCUUCAUGGAUUCUGGUGGUUUUGAGCACUUCCCAAAGCACAUGCCCUGAAAUUCAGCUGCCGUUUAAAAAACGUUUCUCCCCCUCAUCAUCAAGGUGUUACGUAUUAAGGGCAGAAAACUGAAAAGAAAAUGAACUUAUUUCUAAGAAAACACCCAUAACAUCACCAAGAAACAGCCACUGGUAGCCUAUGGGUUCAUUUUCUGCCAGUGUUUUAACUGCGGGCAUGUAACAUUACUGUUGGUAUUAUUUAAAAAUGGGAAUGGA